GACGAACGCUGGCGGCGUGCCUAAUACAUGCAAGUCGAACGAACUCUGGUAUUGAUUGGUGCUUGCAUCAUGAUUUACAUUUGAGUGAGUGGCGAACUGGUGAGUAACACGUGGGAAACCUGCCCAGAAGCGGGGGAUAACACCUGGAAACAGAUGCUAAUACCGCAUAACAACUUGGACCGCAUGGUCCGAGUUGUAAGAAUGCGUCGUCGUAU
rnacentral:rRNA from 1 species